CAGCUCCAAUAGCGUAUAUUAAAGUUGUUGCAGUUAAAAAGCUCGUAGUUGGAUAUCUGCCGGAAGCAGCCAGUCCGCCCUUCCGGGGUGUGCACUUGGUGAAUUCUGGCAUCCUCCUGAUUGGUGUCGUCACACUUCAUUGUGAUGAUGGCAGCUAUCAGGGCCGUUACUUUGAGAAAAUUAGAGUGUUUCAAGCAGGCUUGUUGCUUUGAAUACUGCAGCAUGGAAUAACAAGAUAGGAUUUCGGUUCUAUUUUGUUGGUUUCUAGGACUGAAGUAAUGAUUAAUAGGGACAGUUGGGGGCAUUCGUAUUUAACUGUCAGAGG
rnacentral:rRNA from 1 species